UACAGAGGGUGCAAGCGUUGUUCGGAUUUACUGGGCGUACAGGGAGCGUAGGCGGUUGGAUAAGCCCUCCGUGAAAUCUCCAGGCUUAACCUGGAAAGUGCAGAGGGGACUGUUCAGCUAGAGGAUGGGAGAGGAGCGCGGAAUUCCCGGUGUAGCGGUGAAAUGCGUAGAGAUCGGGAGGAAGGCCGGUGGCGAAGGCGGCGCUCUGGAACAUUUCUGACGCUGAGGCUCGAAAGCGUGGGGAGCAAACAGG
rnacentral:rRNA from 1 species